rnacentral:rRNA from 1 species
UCGCCCGGGAACUACGAGCUAUGCUUAAAACCCAAAGGACUUGACGGUACCCCAUAUCCCCCUAGAGGAGCCUGUCCUAUAAUCGAUACCCCCCGUUCAACCUCACCAUUUCUAGUAAAAUCAGCCUGUAUACCUCCGUCGUCAGCUUACCACGUGAGCGUUAGUGAGCUAAAUGUUUAUUCAACCACACGUCAGGUCAAGGUGCAACACAUGAGAUGGAAAGAGAUGGGCUACACUCUCUAGCUUAGAAGAUACGAAAGACUACUUAUGAAACCUAGUCAGAAGGCGGAUUUAGAAGUAAAAUGGAACCAGAGAGUCCCUUUUAACCUGGCACUGGGGU